UACGUAGGGGGCAAGCGUUGUCCGGAAUUACUGGGCGUAAAGAGCGCGCAGGCGGUCGUUCAAGUCGCGUGUGAAAGCCCCCGGCUCAACUGGGGAGGGUCACGCGAUACUGAUCGACUCGAAGGCAGGAGAGGGAAGUGGAAUUCCCGGUGUAGUGGUGAAAUGCGUAGAUAUCGGGAGGAACACCAGUGGCGAAGGCGACUUCCUGGCCUGUUCUUGACGCUGAGGCGCGAAAGCUAGGGGAGCAAACGGG
rnacentral:rRNA from 1 species